ACAUAAAUGAACACCAACAAUUAAUUCUAGACAAGAAAAGAAGACAAAAGAAAAAAAGAGAGGGUUAUAUGGUAUUAGGGACCUUUGGUGGUGCAGUUGUUGGUGCUAUUGUUUUGUUUCCUGUUUU
rnacentral:ribozyme from 1 species